rnacentral:rRNA from 1 species
ACGGGUGCGGAACACGUGUGCACUGCUUUAUCUGGGGGAUAGCCUUUCGAAAGGAAGAUUAAUACCCCAUAAUAUGUUGGAUGGCAUCAUUCGACAUUGAAAACUCCGGUGGAUAGAGAUGGGCACGCGCAAGAUUAGAUAGUUGGUGAGGUAACGGCUCACCAAGUCUACGAUCUUUAGGGGGCCUGAGAGGGUGAUCCCCCAACUGGUACUGAGACACGGACCAGACUCCUACGGGAGGCAGCAGUGAGGAAUAUUGGACAAUGGGUGAGAGCCUGAUCCAGCCAUCCCGCGUGAAGGACGACUGCCCUAUGGGUUGUAAACUUCUUUUGUAUAGGGAUAAACCUACCCUCGUGAGGGUAGCUGAAGGUACUAUACGAAUAAGCACCGGCUAACUCCGUGCCAGCAGCCGCGGUAAUACGGAGGGUGCAAGCGUUAUCCGGAUUAAUGGGUUUAACAGGGGUCCGUAGGCGGAUCUGUANGGUCAGGGGUGAAAUCUUCACAGCUUUAAACCCUGGGUUGAAACACUUUGGGCCCAAUUUGGGAAUUACCUUGGGGCCACGGGUCCUUGGAACGUUGGUUCAGGUCCAGGACCGUUAC